UGGGGAAUAUUGCACAAUGGGGGAAACCCUGAUGCAGCGACGCCGCGUGAAGGAAGAAGUAUCUCGGUAUGUAAACUUCUAUCAGCAGGGAAGAUAGUGACGGUACCUGACUAAGAAGCCCCGGCUAACUACGUCGCC
rnacentral:rRNA from 1 species